rnacentral:rRNA from 1 species
GACGAACGCUGGCGGCGUGCUUAACACAUGCAAGUCGAACGGAAAGGCCCUGCUUUUGUGGGGUGCUCGAGUGGCGAACGGGUGAGUAACACGUGAGUAACCUGCCCCUGACUUUGGGAUAACUUCAGGAAACUGGGGCUAAUACCGGAUAGGAGCUCCUGCUGCAUGGUGGGGGUUGGAAAGUUUCGGCGGUUGGGGAUGGACUCGCGGCUUAUCAGCUUGUUGGUGGGGUAGUGGCUUACCAAGGCUUUGACGGGUAGCCGGCCUGAGAGGGUGACCGGCCACAUUAGGACUAAGAUACGGCCCAGACUCCUACGGGAGGCAGCAGUGGGGAAUCUUGCGCAAUGGGCGGAAGCCUGAUGCAGCAGCGCCGCGUGCGGGAUGACGGCCUUCGGGUUGUAAACCGCUUUCGCCUGUGACGAAGCGUGAGUGACGGUAAUGGGUAAGGAAGCACCGGCUAACUACGUG